rnacentral:rRNA from 1 species
GACGAACGCUGGCGGCGUGCUUAACACGUGCAAGUCGAACGGUGAAGCGCCUUCCUUUUUGGUGGGUGUGGAUGAGUGGCGAACGGGUGAGUAACACGUGAGUAACCUGCCCCCUUCUUCUGGAUAACCGCAUGAAAGUGUGGCUAAUACGGGAUAUUCUGGGUCUGUCGCAUGAUGGGUCUGGGAAAGAUAUUGUUUCGGUGGGGGAUGGGCUCGCGGCCUAUCAGCUUGUUGGUGGGGUGAUGGCCUACCAAGGCGGUGACGGGUAGCCGGCCUGAGAGGGUGGACGGUCACACUGGGACUGAGACACGGACCAGACUCCUACGGGAGGCAGCAGUGGGGAAUAUGGCACAAUGGGCGCAAGCCUGAUGCAGCGACGCCGCGUGAGGGAUGGAGGCCUUCGGGUUGUGAACCUCUUUCGCCAGUGAAGCAGGCCUGCCUCGUUUGUGGGUGGGUUGACGGUAGCUGGAGAAGAAGCGCCGGCUAACUACGUG